GGCGCCAUCGUCUAGGGGUUAGGACGCCGGCCUCUCACGCCGGUAGCGGGGGUUCGAUUCCCCCUGGCGCUA
rnacentral:tRNA from 1 species